rnacentral:rRNA from 1 species
UACGGAGGGUGCAAACGUUGCUCGGAAUCAUUGGGCGUAAAGCGCACGUAGGCGGCCCGUUAAGUCGGGUGUGAAAGCCCUGGGCUCAACCCAGGAAGUGCACUCGAAACUGACAGGCUUGAAUAUGGAAGAGGGUCGCGGAAUUCCCGGUGUAGAGGUGAAAUUCGUAGAUAUCGGGAGGAACACCAGUGGCGAAGGCGGCGACCUGGGCCAAUAUUGACGCUGAGGUGCGAAAGCGUGGGGAGCAAACAGG